rnacentral:rRNA from 1 species
UACGGAGGAUCCGAGCGUUAUCCGGAUUUAUUGGGUUUAAAGGGUGCGUAGGCGGCCUAUUAAGUCAGGGGUGAAAUACGGUGGCUCAACCAUCGCAGUGCCUUUGAUACUGAUGGGCUUGAAUCCAUUUGAAGUGGGCGGAAUAAGACAAGUAGCGGUGAAAUGCAUAGAUAUGUCUUAGAACGCCGAUUGCGAAGGCAGCUCACUAAGCUGGUAUUGACGCUGAUGCACGAAAGCGUGGGGAUCGAACAGG